UAGGGAAUCUUCCACAAUGGACGAAAGUCUGAUGGAGCAACGCCGCGUGAGUGAUGAAGGUUUUCGGAUCGUAAAACUCUGUUGUAAGGGAAGAACACGUACGAGAGGUAAUGCUCGUACCUUGACGGUACCUUACGAGAAAGCCACGGCUAACUACGUGCCAGCAGCCGCGGUAAUACGUAGGUGGCAAGCGUUGUCCGGAAUUAUUGGGCGUAAAGCGCGCGCAGGCGGCCUUUUAAGUCUGAUGUGAAAGCCCCCGGCUCAACCGGGGAGGGCCAUUGGAAACUGGAAGGCUUGAGUACAGAAGAGAAGAGUGGAAUUCCACGUGUAGCGGUGAAAUGCGUAGAGAUGUGGAGGAACACCAGUGGCGAAGGCGACUCUUUGGUCUGUAACUGACGCUGAGGCGCGAAAGCGUGGGGAGCAAACA
rnacentral:rRNA from 1 species